AUUCCAUGGUGCGGACAUCUCCUUUGCAAAUCCUUGUAUCUCUCCCAUACUUUAGACAAGCUCUCAUCGUCUUUAGGUCUGAAGGAAGUUUGCUCAUUUCUUAGCUU